rnacentral:rRNA from 1 species
CAAAGUGACAGGUGGUGCAUGGUUGUCGUCAGCUCGUGUCGUGAGAUGUUGGGUUAAGUCCCGCAACGAGCGCAACCCUUAAGCUUAGUUGCCAUCAUUAAGUUGGGCACUCUAAGUUGACUGCCGGUGACAAACCGGAGGAAGGUGGGGAUGACGUCAAAUCAUCAUGCCCCUUAUGAUUUGGGCUACACACGUGCUACAAUGGACAAUACAAAGGGCAGCGAAACCGCGAGGUCAAGCAAAUCCCAUAAAGUUGUUCUCAGUUCGGAUUGUAGUCUGCAACUCGACUACAUGAAGCUGGAAUCGCUAGUAAUCGUAGAUCAGCAUGCUACGGUGAAUACGUUCCCGGGUCUUGUACACACCGCCCGUCACACCACGAGAGUUUGUAACACCCGAAGCCGGUGGAGUAACCUUUUAGGAGCUAGCCGUCGAAGGUGGGACAAAUGAUUGGGGUGAAGUCGUAACAAGGUAGCCGUAUCGGAAGGUGCGGCUGGAUCACCUCCUUU